rnacentral:rRNA from 1 species
UACGUAGGGCGCAAGCGUUGUCCGGAAUUAUUGGGCGUAAAGAGCUCGUAGGCGGUUUGUCGCGUCGGCUGUGAGAUCCCGAGGCUCAACCUCGGGCCUGCAGUCGAUACGGGCAAACUAGAGUGUGGUAGGGGAGACUGGAAUUCCUGGUGUAGCGGUGAAAUGCGCAGAUAUCAGGAGGAACACCGGCGGUGUAGACGGCUUUCUGGACCGUAGCUGACGCUGAGACACGAAAGCGUGGGUAGCAAACAGG